AGAGUUUGAUCAUGGCUCAGGACGAACGCUGACGGUGUGCUUUAGACAUGCAAGUCGAACGAGAAAACCCUUCGGGGUGAGUACAGUGGCGAACGGGUGAGUAACACGUGGGUAACCUGCCCCUCGCAGAGGGACAACCGGGGGAAACCCCGGCUAAUACCUCGUACGCUUGCCGGGUCGCAUGGUCCGGCAAGGAAAGGUAGCUUCGGCCAUCCGGCGAGGGAUGGGCCCGCGGUGCAUUAGCUAGUUGGUGGGGUAACGGCUCACCAAGGCGACGAUGCAUAGCUGGUCUGAGAGGAUGAUCAGCCACACUGGGACUGAGACACGGCCCAGACUCCUACGGGAGGCAGCAGUCGGGAAUCUUGCGCAAUGGGCGAAAGCCUGACGCAGCAACACCGUGUGGGCGACGAAGGCCUUCGGGUCGUAAAGCCCUGUUGUUGGGGACGAAGGGCAAAGGGUUAAUAGCCCCUAGCCUGACGGUACCCUUCGAGGAAGCCCCGGCUAACUACGUGCCAGCAGCCGCGGUAAUACGUAGGGGGCGAGCGUUGUCCGGAAUUAUUGGGCGUAAAGAGCGUGUAGGCGGUUCGGUAAGUCUGCCGUGAAAACCUGGGGCUCAACCCCGGGCGUGCGGUGGAUACUGCCGGGCUAGAGGGUGGUAGAGGCGAGUGGAAUUCCCGGUGUAGCGGUGAAAUGCGCAGAUAUCGGGAGGAACACCAGUAGCGAAGGCGGCUCGCUGGGCCAUUCCUGACGCUGAGACGCGAAAGCUAGGGGAGCAAACAGGAUUAGAUACCCCCGUAGUCC
rnacentral:rRNA from 1 species